CUUUUCCUUUUCCUGAGCCUUUCGUUAUCUUCAGACUUCCUUUUGGCACUUACAGGAUGAAGCCCACGUACAUGUAAUAGUGUUAUCAUCCUAUACGGUUCAUCGCCCACAGCGAAGAACCACGCGUAUGGUGUGAUCGAGAGAAUAAACCCUCGAACCCU